rnacentral:rRNA from 1 species
UACAGAGGGUGCUAGCGUUGUUCGGAAUCAUUGGGCGUAAAGGGCGUGUAGGCGGUUUGUUAAGUCAUGUGUGAAAUCCCUCGGCUCAACCGGGGAACGACGCAUGAAACUGGCAAGCUAGAGUACCAAAGAGGGGGGUGGAAUUCCCGGUGUAGCGGUGAAAUGCGUAGAUAUCUGGAGGAAUACCGGUGGCGAAGGCGGCAUCCUGGACCGGCAUUGACGCUGAGGAGCGAAAGCCAGGGGAGCAAACGGG